rnacentral:lncRNA from 1 species
CGACAUAUGUCUACAAGCCUCUAAGAAUACAUAAAUGUCAUAGAGGUCGGGAUAGAGUCCCGCCAUACCAAACAAUACACGUCUAAAUCAAACUAACCAAACAAGCAACUCCGAAGCAAAUGGAGCGCACCAACAUCUUCUGCCGAGCUAAUAGCCUACUUGGAGGGCUCUUGACCUGUCUAUCGGGACCUGCGAGCAUGAAACGCAGCAUCUCCAGGCAAAAGGGACGUCAGUACAAAUAAUGUACCGAGUAUGUAAGGCACAUAAAUAAAUACAUAAGAGACAUGGAAGACAUAUAGAGUACAUGACUCAACCUAUAAGUCUGAAUAACUUUGUAAAUCAUAAAUUACUUUUAACGCCAUGCAUAUGCGUAUGAAUGUCAUGUCUUGCAUAGGAACAUGUUUUAUAAUAUCAUCAGUCUCUGAGGGCAUCCCAUCAUAUUAUAUCGGCCAUUGUGGGCAAAAUCAUCAUCGUAUACCAGUUGAUCAGGUGGUGGUGUGUAUAUAACGCCAUAACCUUUCCCAUAUCCCAUAUACAUAUAUAUAUACAUACAUACAUAUAUACGCGUAUAUAACGCCGUUUAAAUACUUACAUAUAUAUGCUUAUAUAACGCCGUUUGAAUCAUAUUUCAGCCACUGUGGGCCACAUCAUCAUCAUAUACCAGCUGAUCAGGUGGUGGUGCGUAUAUAACGCCGUAACCUUUUCCCAUAUCCCAUAUAUAUAUAUAUAUAUUUACAUAUAUACGCGUAUAUAACGCCAUCUGGUCAUGGGUCAAUGCAUAUGAAUGCAGUACAUAAAAAGUACAUCAAAAAAAUCAUUCGGAAUGUCAUAAGACCAUUUUGCCUCUGAGUAAUAUUAUAAAGUAAACUGUUUUCAACUUUCGUAUUGUUCUGAGACCCAUGAACAGAUGGUAAGAUAUUAUAACACAUGGAAAUUCAAAAGAACACAGAUAUCUCUAAUACUUCUAUGAAUAGAGUCAUUCAUGGAAUUUGUGCAUUUGCACGUUCCGUUCGUAUCGUAUAGAUCAUGCCAAAAGAAAGAAGUGAUAGUCUUAACAUACGUGGAGUAGGAGAAACUCCGUAUAAUAUUUCGUUGGAAGACCUUCGUUGUUUGAACGAAAUUUGCCUUUGCUCCUUAAAUAUUCACGGACGAAAAUAUUUUCUGGUUCCUAAAACUUUGGAACGAAUGAUCAUUGAAUUCUUUUGAUUUUGGAGAAAAACGUUUCUGGUUCUUCUUAGUUUUGAAAGAAUGACAUUGAAUUCAUUUUAAUUUUUUUGGAGGAAAAUGUUUUUCUUUGGUUGCUUGAGAAUUUGAGAUGGAACGUUUCUGUUCCUUGAAGCUUUGGAAAGAAUGACAUUUCUUUGAGUCAUUUUGGUUCAUAUUUAGACUUUGGAAGAUAACUUAGUCAGUUGUCCAAUCUUGUUUUUGCAUAGGUGGCUAUAAGUGACUUACUUAGUCACUUCUUAUCUUAGUGGCUUCUUGCCACGUGGUUGGGGAUAAUUAUUAGGUUUUUAUCUGCUUAUUAGUUAAUCGGGUAUUGUUCUGUUACCCGGUAAUUAACCAAUUACCCGCAUAAUUUAUAAAUUACUUAAAAUUCAACUUAUUUUUAAUAUUCUUCAUAUAUACUUUAUAUAUUAUACUACCGUGGUCAUAUGGUACCUUACAUAGUACUAGUUUAUAAUUAUCGGAUAUUAUCGCUCGACCCGUAUUUUAUCCCAAAUUGACCACUUUUAACGAAACUCCUUUUCUUUAAUUCGUGUACCCCUUUAUCCUUCAUAGCACUUAUUUAUCGCUUGAUAUAAAUAGAGUAUUACUUAUAAUCCCAAAAUAAAUCUCAUUCCCGAAUUUGCGUCGAUUAAUCUUACGACGAAGCUUUAUUGUACGACGAUGCUUUAAUGUACAAAAAUGCGAAAUAUAAUAUCUCAUUUUCAGACUUUCAUCAUUUUACUUAUGGCGUACUUUCAUGCACUAAAACCUGGGGUGUAACAUCAUCCCCCCCUUUCGAACAUUCGUCCUCGAAUGUUGGCUGGUGCACUUAUCGUUUUCGUAACUUAUGUCUUCUAAAUACUUUGUGCUCUUCUUUCCAUCAUGGCAACUGUUCUGUGAGUAAAUCCAAAUUCUAGGGCAUUCCCUCCUUUAGGCCUCUUUCACACCCCAUGAUUUGUAAUCAUAAUUCGUCCAAUCUUGUAACUGUUGCUACCUUUUGUCAUGCAGCCUGUACGACUUCUUCCUACUAUGUGCGCCUAUGAGACUCUUUCCUUUAGCUUUUAGCCAAUCGCCUUUUCUUACUUUGGGAACAUAUACAGAACUCGACAAGAUGUCCCUUUGGGUAUCUAUGAGUAUACUGAAGUUCUUCUCUCGGUACUUUGUUGAACUCACGAAUAUUGCUAUAUUUUAUCGCAUGGGUCCGUUUAGCCAUCCGUAUGACUUUACUGCAUCUAGCUGGGUCAUACUAUACCAUAACUCUUACUUCGAUUUUUAGUUGCUGAGGCCGACGACCAAACUCUAGGUUACUCUUCCACUGGUUAUUAUAUAUGUAUAAGUCUAAGUCCUUUAAUACUUCCUCAUUACUGUUUAUCUUAGGAAUGAUUGUCUAAUUUCAUUUCGUACUUUGUAACUUUUAUCCAUCCAUUGUCGAUUCACCUCAAUGUUUAUCUAUAAUCUUCCAUCGAUAACUUGAAACUUCUUACGUAAUACAUUGCCACUAGGGCUUAAGUUGUAUCGAGGAAUAUUUGAAGUGAUUCCCAUAAUCGUAUUUCAUAGUGUCUCAAUGUGAUUCUACUUAUGGGGUAUCUUAAUUUCGUGCCGUCCAUGAAAUCUUUUUCUCCUCCUCUUCUUCUAUUUUUUCAAAUCAUUAUUCAAACGAAGGCCCAAACUUCAUCUUUUAUUUGUGACAACUAUACCCUCAUUUUAUUACUGGGUCAGCAUUUCAUUCCUUCUAAAUGCCAUUUGUCUUUGACUUCUUUGAGUUUAUUCAGGCUACACUAAGCUUUGUAUAACAUAGAGAAAUCAUAUGCUCUUAUUGUUUUCAUGGGCUUAGUUCUAAGGACUUAUCUAUUUUGUUACUUUCCCAUUCACAUAUUCUUAUCCUUGCUCCUGUCUUCUAGAACCUUGUCGCUUUACCAUACAAUAACUUUUGACCUACACAUCUCUAUUUAUAUUACUUGCAACCUUUCAACUUGCCCGUAUCAUAGAUUUUCUUAUGUCAUUUGGAACAUCAAGCGAGACAUCGCAUCGUCUCUAAUUCUUCUUUACUCUGUUAGUCAAGCUUUUCAAUACCUAGACCAUAGGUUGGAAGGUAUGCUACUAAUGAUGCCGCUAUCAUUCCUGGAUAUUGAAUCUCAGCACUUCUAACCUUUUAUCCGAAGUAUGGACUAUUCACAUAUUCUGCCUUUGAGUAUCUUGUACGUUAUUUACCUUUACCUUACUUACCUUAAAAUCUCGCAUCGUAUCUUCUAUCUCUUUCCUGACCUCCCUUCCACCUAGGUGUAAUUCAUGUCCAUAACUUUAGGUUCUAUUAUAAUACUCGUACCUCUGGUAUAUACACAAUCCGGUGGGAGCUUUGUACUGACUUCUUAUGAGGCUGAUACUUCUUCUAACUGGCUUCCCUGUAGAGCUAUUAUAGACUAUGGUUGUUGUGUUAUUUCUCUAGAACAUCUGAUAUUAAGAGUGAUUCUGUCACGUUCUCAAGCACAACUUCUAUAAUUUUUUUCUAGGUCCAAUAAUCAGACUCCUGAUUUACUUGGGUGAUGUAAUUCUUUAGUUUCCUCUUCCUUCUGAUUAGCCUUUAUGUAGGCUUAAGCUAUCUCCUGACCUGCGGCUCAUGGUAUUAGUUAUUACUUUAGCCUUUUAUGGAUGCUGAGGAAUAUCCAUGAUAGAACCCUUUAAUAAUUCAAUCCUUCGUCUAUGACCUGGGCUCAAUUCUUUCUGUUAACGUAUACCAGAAUCUUCUACGGUUGUAUAUACUGCAUGUAUAAAGCCUCGAACCCUUAAGUGCAUUCAUAACGUAACCAACUCUGGAUCAUUGAUCAAAUAAUUUUUUUUCGUUCCAUAUUAGCUUUCUUUCAAGAUAAGCUAUUACUUUUCCUAGUCUUUCUGCCCCGUGUUGCGUCCAUACUUGGCUUAUCUCAGUUCCCACACAUGCCAGAGUUUUCAUGCAACUCAUAUGAUCUCAAGUAUUACUUUUAAUUUUUACUUCCUGUUCAUUAGCCACGGUAGGUGCCACUUUCCUUUGGAGUGCUUCCAAUGUUGUUGUGAGACUGUUAUUACACGACCAUUCUCUCCUUAGGUCACUGAGCUUAGGUUGAAGCCUUCUUCCUUACUUUCUCAUUUAGUCUUUCGUAGUAGUAUUUAGGGAGGGUCCUCUGACUUUUGUAAGGCUGCGAGCUUAUCACAUUAUAUGCCUGGCGGAAUUUUCGAUGUUCUUCCUUGCCUAUAAUUACCCGUAGUUACUUAUCUCCACGCCAUUGUGCUUGUAGGGUUACUCCUGAACUAAUAUUUUGAUUGUCUUCACGGUGGUACUUUCUUUUAUUUCCGCAACACUCAUUUUAACUUACCCAACUCUUAUAUGGAUGCUUUUCUAGGAUCACAAUGUCAUAACUGUGGGGCUGAAUUCCUCAUAUUGGGGUUCCCUAUGUUUAUCUUGCACGAUCUAUUAAUUUGUCUUUAUUCUCUUAUCUAGUCAUAGCUAGGCUCUUCUUGAAUCAACUACUAAUUGUUUGUUGGCCCAUUCCCGUAUCAAUAUUCCGCGUAAUCUUUCUUGGGUCAUUUCCUUUGUCUUAACUUGCCUCUCGCACUGGCUCUAUGUUAAUUAAUAAUAUAUCGGCAGGAACCCUUACUUCCUUUUACUGACGUCGUGUUUGAAUAAUUCUCUUGUAUCGUGGCAUGACUGCAGGCUUUGAAUAAGUGAAAUCUCAUCCCUUUUUCGUUUUAUCGUAUUCUUCCUUUUCCAUUCCAUAAUUACCAAAACCACUUAAUUCUGACGUAAUGUCACGUCAUUCCAUAUUCCCCCUUUUUGGGGAGUACUAAAAAUUGAAGCUACGACAAUUUGCCUAUAGAUGUUCUACCUCUUUAUUUUUGGCAUCCUUUCACAUCAUCGAUGACCCUUACUCUCCUUGCGGUAAUCCUUUUGUAUUAAGGAUAACGAAAUUCCUUACUUGCGAGGUGACAAUUACUAUAACUGGCACAUAUAGUCUCUUAAGCUUAAUUUUGCUCACAUUGCUUGCUGUAGGAAAGCAUCUUUCUGAAUGACCAUUCUCGAAAUUUCCCAUGAAUCUUCUUUUGUUUUCCAUUCUAUUAUUGGCGGAACAAAAUCUGAAGUUCUUAUGAUGGCGACUAUCACCAGUCACGCAGUCCUUAAUUCAUUUUAGUUUAUCUUGUUCACCAAUCCAUACUUGUUCUAUUACUCUGGGGUCUAACUUUUCCUCUUGGUAAUCACGCUAGAGUUGCGAAUUUAUUUCUUGAAAUGAGGAUAUGAUUGUAUGGCCUAUACUCUUUUGUUGUCCUAAGGCCUGUCACUUCUCGUUUCUUCUUUCACUUGAUUAUAGAUUUUGUAAUAUUGUCAUCUUAUGAUAUACCGUUGUCAUCCAUGUAUCAUAUCUUACUCAUAAUGCUUCAUUAACUCUUUGCUUAUUUCCCGCUAACAUUUAUGCCUAUCACUUUAUUCUGCAAACUUGAACAAGAUAUUUUUUUGCUCUUAGCUUCCCUUUGCUCUAUCCAAUGGCUCUUCAAGUUGCUUAACGUUCUCGUUUUACUAGGGACGCGAGCCACACUAAAGUAAUAUUUAUCCCUUCAAGGCUUAUAGUGCAUGUCUUUGUAGUACUCAUAUCUGGCUGCACUAUUUCAGAGUGCACCAUCUGGUGUCUCAUAAAGCGAUCUAUUAACAUAUUUGCAAUAUCCUUCGGAAAUGUCAACUGACGCAAACAAUUUAUCCAUCAUAUCUUCUUAUACCACUUCUGUUAAUCCCCAUAGGGCAUAUCUGGAAUGGGUGCGACCAAUUGUAUAUACCUCUGUUACUAUUGAAUAUAACUCAAAAAACUUAUGUUCCUCUGCGUCAAUUAUAAACGCCGUUAGCCUUUAUUAUUUGGGUGCCUCGUACCCUUCUUCAUCUUGUUUCCUUUGCUUGUUGAAACCUAUAUUUAUCUUUUUAAUCUCUCAUUGUUUUUUUUUGUUUUUUUUUACCAUAAAGAUAGAUAGACAUUUUUUGCCUUAAGGCUUCUUAUCAGGAAGCUUGCACCUUUCAGUACACCCAUGAUCUUCUAAAGACCUCACAUUUACUUAUCGUAGGCAUUAUACAAAAAUUCAAUUCCUCUGACUCAGCCUCUAAGAAUACAAGCUGUAUAUGUCGUAUACAAAAAUACAAUCUUUCACGUAUACGACAUAUGUCUACAAGCCUCUAAGAAUACAUAAAUGUCAUAGAGGUCGGGAUAGAGUCCCGCCAUACCAAACAAUACACGUCUAAAUCAUACUAACCAAACAAGCAACUCCGAAGCAAAUGGAGCGCACCAACAUCUUCCGCCGAGUUGAUAGCCUACUUGGAGGGCUCUCGACCUGUCUAUCGGAACCUGCGGGCAUGAAACGCAGCCUCCCUAGGCAAAAGGGACGUCAGUACGAAUAAUGUACCGAGUAUGUAAGGCACAUAAAUAAAUACAUAAGAGACAUGGAAGACAUAUAAAGUACAUGACUCAACCUGUAAGUCUGAAUAACUUUGUAAAUCAUAAAUUACUUUUAACAUUAUGCAUAUGCGUAUGAAUGUCAUGUCUUGCAUAGGUACAUGUUUCAUAACAUCAUCAGUCUCUGAGGGCAUCCCAUCAUAUUAUAUCGGCCAUUGUGGGCAAAAUCAUCAUCGUAUACUAGCUGAUCAGGUGGUGGUGCGUAUAUAACGCCAUAACCUUUCCCAUAUACAUAUACAUACAUACAUACAUACAUACAUAUAUAUACGCGUAUAUAAUGCCAUUUUAAUACAUACAUAUAUAUANNNN